rnacentral:rRNA from 1 species
AGGAGUACGGCGUAAAACGUGUUAAAGCACCACACCAAAUAGGGUUAAAUUCUAACCAAGCUGUAAAAAGCCAUGAUUAAAAUAAAAAUAAAUGACGAAAGUGACCCUACAGUAGCCGACGCACUAUAGCUAAGACCCAAACUGGGAUUAGAUACCCCACUAUGCUUAGCCCUAAACACAGAUAAUUACAUAAACAAAAUUAUUCGCCAGAGUACUACUAGCAACAGCUUAAAACUCAAAGGACUUGGCGGUGCUUUAUAUCCUUCUAGAGGAGCCUGUUCUAUAAUCGAUAAACCCCGAUAAACCUCACCAAUUCUUGCUAAUACAGUCUAUAUACCGCCAUCUUCAGCAAACCCUAAAAAGGAAAAAAAGUAAGCGUAAUUAUGAUACAUAAAAACGUUAGGUCAAGGUGUAACCUAUGAAAUGGGAAGAAAUGGGCUACAUUCUCUACACUAAGAGAAUCAAGCACGAAAGUUAUUAUGAAACCAAUAACCAAAGGAGGAUUUAGCAGUAAACUAAGAAUAGAGUGCUUAGUUGAAUUAGGCAG